AGGAUGAACGCUGGCGGCGUGCUUAACACAUGCAAGUCAAGGGGGCCCAGCAAUGGGUAACCGGCGAACGGGUGCGUAACACGUGAGCAACCUACCGAAUUGUGGGGGAUAGCCGGCCCAACGGCCGGGUAAUACCGCAUACGCUCGAGACGAGGCAUUUCGACUCGAGGAAACCUACGGGACAAUUUCGAGGGGCUCGCGGCCUAUCAGCUAGUUGGUGAGGUAACGGCUCACCAAGGCGACGACGGGUA
rnacentral:rRNA from 1 species